rnacentral:rRNA from 1 species
ACAGUCACUGACAUUAGAUACCCCGGUAGUCCCAGCCGUAAACUAUGCUCGCUAGGUGUCAGGCAUGGCGCGACCGUGUCUGGUGCCGCAGGGAAGCCGUGAAGCGAGCCACCUGGGAAGUACGGCCGCAAGGCUGAAACUUAAAGGAAUUGGCGGGGGAGCACAACAACGGGUGGAGUCUGCGGUUUAAUUGGACUCAACGCCGGACAACUCACCGGGGACGACAGCAAUAUGUAGGCCAGGCUGAAGACCUUGCCUGAAUCGCUG